UUACAAUUUCGUGCACGGGAAAUAUCCAGUUUUUGUUUCGUUUUGUUAUUAAAUUACCUUAAACAUAUCUGACUAUUUUUACUGUAAAAUCCGUCUUUAUUAAGAUCCAACAGUAUUGAUGUUGACAAACAGAACUUACAUAAUCCCUUUGAUGAUUAAAGCAGUGCGAUAAUUAUACCCAAGUUACACCAAAGCUGGCGCCUCUGUACAGCUGUCUAGGUCACCAUGUGCGUUCAGGCGGAACAAUCCGACAACCUGAAAUCACAACUAUGGCCGGGUAACGUGUGAAUUAAUUCCAGGACUUCGUUUCUGAUCGAACUAUGAUAAACUGUGCAUUUCCUGCUGCUACUGCACUUGUCAACACGUGAUCUGUGCAGAUACAUUUGUAUAUUGCCCAAUUACUUGUAAGGUCUGGAGCUGUCUCAAUUUUACUAGCAAGCCUGGUGUACACAAAUAAUGAGAGCAUUGGCUUAUGGAUGAUUCUGCCUAAUAUAUGACAUCAAAGGUACAUCAGCUUUAGGACUUUAUUUAUAUGGAUAUGUGUGGUGUGACCAAUACUAGAAGAUAAAUGCCAUCCCCUGCCAC